CACAUAUGAUCACUUGAAGUCAAAUAUGGAGAUGUCUAGAUAGAUUUUAGACAUCUGACGCCAUAACUUGCUCGAAACCUUCUUAAUUUUUUACCACAGACUACGCAUGGGAUAACAUGAUACCUCGACAAGUUUUAUGAUUUUUGGACUUCGUAUAUAUUUUAUGUAAUUUUAAAACACUUUUUUAGCAAAGUGGCUCGUCAUAUUGCACGGAAAAGAUGCAUAAAAUUUGAUGCGAGUUCGUAGAUAGGGACUCAACAUACACCAAAUACCAUGAAUAACAUCUUUUGAAAUAUUACAUUGCAUUAUUCCUGCAGUUCAAAUUUGAAAUAUUCGAAAAAAAUCAACUAAUCAAAAUAAAUUAAGAAAAUAUAUAAAAAUAGUCAAAAUUAGCCCAAAUUUUAAAAUUGAGUUUAAAACAAUGUAUUAUAUUACCAAAAAAACUGGGCUUAAAAAAUGAAAAAAAAUCUUUGCCGAGGGCUAGGCCUUGGGCCCUGGCAAAGGGGGUCUUUGCCGAGGGCCUCGCCUCUGGCCCUCGGCAAAGACUAUAUAUAUUAAAUAAAAAAAAGCUGAUCGAAAAAACUUUGCCGAAAAAUUGGUUCAAAAAAAACUUUACCGAGGGCCUAAAUGCUAGCCCUCGGCAAAGCCUAACGGGCCUCGGCCGUCGUGGCCCAACGCGCCAAAUUUGCCGAGGGCCUGUCUGUGCCAC
rnacentral:lncRNA from 1 species